rnacentral:rRNA from 1 species
AGACGAAGGUGGCGAGCGUUACUCGGAUUUACAAGGCGUAAAGCGUGGGCAGGCGGCUCGAUAAGUCUCUUGUGAAAGCCUUGGGCUCAACCCAGGGAGGCCAAGAGAUACUAUCGGGCUUGGAUGUGGGAGAGGAGACUGGAAUUCCCGGUGUAGCGGUGAAAUGCGUUGAUAUCGGGAGGAACACCAAUGGCGAAAGCAAGUCUCUGGACCACCAUCGACGCUCAUCCACGAAAGCUGGGGGAUCAAACAGGAUUAGAUACCCUGGUAGUCCCAGCCGUAAACGAUGCUCAUUAGGUAUGGGGGGUAUCGACCCCUCCCGUGCCGACGCUAACGCAUUAAAUGAGCCGCCUGGGGAGUACGGCCGCAAGGUUGAA